CCUGCUAGGGCAGGUUUACAACUGAUGUCUUACACCCACUCCAGGAAACAAACCUGGGUAGGGACUGACGUGUUACGCCUCUUCUAAUGACAUUUUUUUUCUUUCCACCUCCUUUUCUUUGCCGUGUAACACAGAGGAGAAGCCCCCUGAAACGCACGCCACCUAUCUUCACGGGAGGGGAUAAUUGAGGAGAGCCAAACGUGAGCAUCUUCUGGGUUGAAGUUUUUUUUUUCUCUCUCCUUUCCUCCCUCUCUCCUUCCUUUCUCCCCCCUCCGCUCCUCUCUCCUUUUCUUUGCCUCACUCUCCUCUCUCUUUCACCAUCUCCUCGCUUUUUGAGUGAAACCAACUAUGUCGGGCUUCGACGCGGAGCAAAAGAACAGAACAGGCGACAGUGUGUGUGUGUGUGUGUGUGUGUGUGCGUGUGUGUGUGUAUAUGUUGUGUGUUGUUUUUUUCGUCCUCUUUCUUCUGUGUAUGUGUGUGUGGGGGAGAAACUUGGAGCGCGUCCACGCCGGCCGCAAUCAUCUCUGCAACAUCAAACUCAACAUCUCUCGACGGGGUUUGGCUCUCUGAUAGCCACCGCAAGAGCCUCGACACCACAACAGCUCCAGAGAUUGACGGACAAUUAAAGACCGAGAGGCGAAGGCUCGAGCGUGUGAUCUGCGAGAACUCCUCAAACAUGCAAAAUGAAUUUAGUUUACAUUUGCCACGAGCAACACAGAAAGAGAGUGAGGAGAGGGGGGAAAAACUGCUCUUUUCUGAGCAUUUCUGAUCUGUCUCAGUCGAACAAGAAAAAGCUCGCGGAGAGGACAAGAUCGCUGCAUAGCAGAUUGCUGCAGAAACAAAUGCUCGCACCAAAAAAGUAUUGAUUUUUUAUGUUGUUCUUGUUAGCUGGAGCAGAGGCUUCUACAAAUGACCACUUAUCCGACUGAGACGCUCACAAAAAAGACAAACAUAUCAUGCGUUUUUUUUUUCUCCUGUGGAAAGAGGUCAGAUGUUUUGUGGCUUCCAAAAACAACAGACUGGGAUAGACAACUGAAUAAAAAAACUUUUUCUUUUUAGCAACACCAAACACACAAAUGAUACCUUUUAUUUAUCUUGCACUGUGCAUGCACACAUAUACAGAUAUAUUUUUGCUAUUUACACCCUAAAGAUGAACCUUAUUUCUGUCAAAGCACUCUUUCCCCAAAGUCACGACUGCGGUUUUCAUGCUGAGUUAAUGUUUUACAUCAUCACUUGCAGUCAAAUCUAUAUGUAAAUGUGCACAUCAGUCCACGUACAUGUUCUGCAGCAAAUUACUUUUCAACAGAUGUAAUUAGGCAUGUGUAUUUAUCGGCAGACCGGCUGCACAUUCAGACGCAAAUUAUGAGAAAAGGAUUGCAGGAGUUUAUAAAGAAAACCCGUAUUGAUUGCUGACAUGAAAGUGAAGCUGCGUCAGUGUCGUCGAGCUUUACUCAGAGCUCAAUGUUUAGCUGCAUUUUGCCAACAAGUCCAUCGACAGCUGAAGAUAAUGCAACCACAUCAACACCCCUGCAGUUAAAUCUUCCUCUAUUAAUGUUAAAAUGAUCGCUUUAUUGUUUAAGAGAACUUCUGAUUUUACUUUGUUGUUAUACUUUGGAUGCUGCAGCUAGUAAUAGUGUGAUAUUGUAAUGUGUUAUAAGGUAAAUAAGAAAAAUAUUACAUUUAAAGCACUGAGGACUACA